GAUGAACGCUGGCGGCUUGCUUAACACAUGCAAGUCGAACGGGAAGUGGUGUUUCCAGUGGCGAACGGGUGAGUAACGCGUAAGAACCUGCCCUUGGGAGGGGAACAACAACUGGAAACGGUUGCUAAUACCCCGUAGGCUGAGGAGCAAAAGGAGAAAUCCGCCCAAGGAGGGGCUCGCGUCUGAUUAGCUAGUUGGUGAGGUAAUAGCUUACCAAGGCGAUGAUCAGUAGCUGGUCCGAGAGGAUGAUCAGCCACACUGGGACUGAGACACGGCCCAGACUCCUACGGGAGGCAGCAGUGGGGAAUUUUCCGCAAUGGGCGAAAGCCUGACGGAGCAAUGCCGCGUGGAGGUGGAAGGCCUACGGGUCGUCAACUUCUUUUCUCGGAGAAGAAACAAUGACGGUAUCUGAGGAAUAAGCAUCGGCUAACUCUGUG
rnacentral:rRNA from 1 species